GAUGAACGCUGGCGGCGUGCCUAACACAUGCAAGUCGAGCGGAGAUUACUGCCUAGCAAUAGAAGGUAAUUUUAGCGGCGGACGGGUGAGUAACACGUGAGUAACCUGCCUUCAACUGGGGAAUAACACCGUGAAAACGGUGCUAAUACCGCAUAAUGUUGUCUUACGGCAUCGUAGGACAACCAAAGGAGCAAUCCGGUAGAAGAUGGACUCGCGUCCGAUUAGCUGGUUGGCGGGGUAACGGCCCACCAAGGCGACGAUCGGUAGCCGAACUGAGAGGUUGAUCGGCCACAUUGGGACUGAGACACGGCCCAGACUCCUACGGGAGGCAGCAGUGGGGAAUAUUGGGCAAUGGGCGAAAGCCUGACCCAGCAACGCCGCGUGAAGGAAGAAGGCCUUCGGUUGUAAACGUUCUUUGUAACAGGACGAAAAAUAAGACGGUACCUGAAAACAAAGACCAACGCGUAACUACGUAGCCACGCAGCCGCGGUAAGUAGUCGACGUCG
rnacentral:rRNA from 1 species